UGCUGAUCUAAGUCACUUUGGAAAUAAAUGAAGUCUAUACAACUAAAGGCAAAAUAAAUAGUACAUAAGACAUGGCACCUUGUUGCUGUGUCCUCACAUGGCAGAAGGUACCAGGACCUCUGCCAAGAGACAGCGACACAAUGGUGAACCAGGAAAUGGCAUAUCCCCUGUCCUCAGGGAACCAGAUGAGUAGAGAAGACAAAAUUUACUAAAAUAAUCAAUCAUUUGAGUAAAUGUAGAAUUUCAAGGGUAGUUAGAGUUACAAAGGAGAGGUACACGCUACCAUGAGAACACAAAAGGGGCAUUUGUCCAGAGCCAAUAUUAAAACCACAGUGGUAACAUAUACACCACUGUGAGAGUGUAGGGAAAUACUUGAGCUCUUCACCAAAUAUAACGGCAGCAUUUGAGAUUUCUUAGCUUCAUUUUGUUUGUUGCAGUUAGCCCAGAUUGACUGUUGUGCAAACAACUUCCAUUUGGUUUAGUUUUUGAUAACUCGUUUUAUGAUAGGCAGCUGCUUCUUAUUUGAAGUGAGAGAUGAGGAUAUGGUGAAGGACAAGGAAAAUAAAAUGAGUAAGCGGUGCCUUCUGAAUAAUGCCAUGGAGCUUAUGGUA
rnacentral:lncRNA from 1 species